rnacentral:lncRNA from 1 species
GCACCAGCCCGGCGGGGGGAAGGUCCAGAUAGUCUCCAAAAAAGCGAACUACAGCCAUGUUCAGUCCAAGUGUGGUUCCAAGGACAAUAUUAAGCAUGUCCCUGGAGGUGGGAAUGUGCAGAUCCAGAACAAGAAAGUUGACCUUUCCAAAGUGUCCUCCAAGUGUGGCUCUAAAGCAAAUAUCAAGCAUAAGCCAGGUAGGAGUUUUACCAUUUCCUCAGGGUUUGUUGGUAGAUUUUGCACGUCCCUUUAACCCGGUCCUGGAUCGGGACUGAAGCUCUUUAAGGGGUUUGCUGCUUUCAGGGGGUGUCUC